AGGUGCUGCACGGCUGUCGUCAGCUCGUGUCGUGAGAUGUUGGGUUAAGUCCCGCAACGAGCGCAACCCUCGUCACUAGUUACUAACGGUUCGGCCGAGGACUCUAGUGAGACUGCCUUCGCAAGGAGGAGGAAGGUGAGGACGACGUCAAGUCAUCAUGGCCCUUACGGCUAGGGCAACACACGUGCUACAAUGGUUGGGACAGUGAGACGCAAUACCGCGAGGUGGAGCAAAUCUAUAAACCCAAUCUCAGUUCGGAUUGUUCUCUGCAACUCGAGAACAUGAAGCUGGAAUCACUAGUAAUCGUAGAUCAGCUAUGCUACGGUGAAUACGUUCCCGGGUCUUGUACUCACCGCCCGUCACACCAUGGGAGUUGAUUUCACCCGAAGCGGGGAAGCUAAAUUGGCUACCCUCCACGGUGGAAUUAGCGACUGGGGUGAAGUCGUAACAAGGUA
rnacentral:rRNA from 1 species